UACGUAGGAGGCAAGCGUUGUCCGGAAUACUGGGCGUAAAGCGCGUGUAGGUGGUGGGACAAGUCUGCUGUGAAAGCGCCUGGCUUAACCGGCGAGGUCGGCGGAACUGUUCGACUCGAGGACGGUAGAGGGGGGGUGGAAUUCCCGUGUAGUGGUGAAAUGCGUAGAGAUCGGAGGAACACCUGUGCGAAGGGCGGCCCCCUGGGCCGG
rnacentral:rRNA from 1 species